rnacentral:lncRNA from 1 species
AUCUAUUUCUACUAUUCCAUUGUGUUUCAAGUCCCUCUCCCCUAGUGCAAUGUUGGUAGUCCUUUUACGUCUUUACAGAGCAAUAGAGCCAAUGCAAGUUUAAAAGCCAUCAAGCUAUAUGUAUGAGAAAGCAGGAGUUUCGUAAGCAUUUACUUAGUUAAUGCUAUUCAACAUGUGAGACUAUUCCAUUCGUGUAUGAACCCAUUUCCCUGUACAACGGUGGUAGUUCUUUUACAUCCUUGCAGAAAGUGUAAUGAGCAAGAGAGGUUAAGAUCCAGCAAGCAGGUAGCCUUUAAAUAUCAAGCUUUUUCAAUCUAUUUGUCCUUUGUGGUUUUGUGUCCAUAUUUUGUCUCCUAAAACAGGACUUUGCAAGUAAAGCAUCAUUCUACGAAUGCGUACUUCGGAUCGUAAGCAUCAUCCUUUGAACUUUGUUUCGUUUUCGUACAACAUUGCUGUACUAUUAGUUCACAGUAUCGUAUCAAAUAACUACAAGUCUAGAGAAUAGAAAAAUUCACCUCCUACAUUGGCCAGGUAAAAUGAAUUUCGUUUGAUUUUUCUUCGAAACGUGGUGUUCUGUUUGUAUUGGCAGCAGUAUUUUAAAUAUGCUUGAUAGAGGUCAGCGGAUCCAUUCAUAUACGGAUUCUUAAAGUCUGGUAAGCUUUUGAAAAUUAAUUUUUUUGGUUAUUUUAAUAAUUUAGUGGCCCUUUGGGUGUGUGUGUAGGCAUGUUUCUACUUUUCUUUUUGUAGCUUUCUGUGUGGAAUUUGAAUCUGAAUCCAGUCUUCACCACAUUCAUAACAUGCAAGCGCUUUGGUUUUGGGUAGGAAUCUAAAUGGUUGGAUGUCUAUGGAAAAAUGGGAGUCCCAGGCAUGAGAGUAGAGAGUAAAGAUGNUUAAUUUUUACAGUCUAAGUGGGUCAUCAGAUACAGUACCUCCCUGGAUAGAGAAAGGAUAUAGCAGGUCCCCCACUUCACAUACAGUACCUCCCUGGAUUAGAGAAAGGAGUAAGAUCCCCCACUUCAGAUACAGUAUGGCAUUGGAUAGAGAAAGAGCAUAGCAGUAGGUCCCCCACUUUGCGUACAGUACCUCCCUGGAUAGAGAAAGUAUUAGGUCUCUUCUUCAGAUGCAGUAUGGCCCUGGUUAGAGAAUGGAUAUAGCUGUGGGUCCCCUCUUCAGCUCUUCUAUUAUAGUACAGCCCCUAGUUAAAGAGUGUUAGCUGUGGCGUCCCCUUCUUUCCUGAUGCUAGUGGUCCCUGGUAAAGCAAGAGAAUGUAGCCGUGGGUCCCACUCUACAGUACAGGUCAAUUUAGUGAGAGUAGCUGUCUGGGUUCCUUAACUGACGCAGUGUUAAAUUUAGCUGUGGGUUCCCCUCUUCUAAUACAGUACAGCCAUCGUAGCUUUGUGUUCCCUAAGUGAUGCAGUGUGGCCCUGGUAAAGAUAAAGAAGUGUAUGUUUGGGUUCCCUUCUGACUGCACCCUUUCAUUAUUGAGUAUGGUGGUCCUAGCUCCCUCAUCUCCAGUUCCUUUGCCAUCUUCCCUUGUGCAACAGUGGUAGUUCUUUCAACUUUUUACAGAAACUAGUCCCAGGAAACUGAUAGUCUGGCCACGUAACACCUAAAAAGAUUCAAAACAAUCAUCUCUAACUCGUAAGCAUCUUAAAAUUUUGAACAUUUUGCAACACGUUGCUACUAUGACUUGAUUCAACAGUUAGUGAAACUAGACUUCACCAAGAGUUCAGAAAGGUAAUGCAUUUUCACCUUGUCCGAUUCGCCCUGUAUUUCUUCGUAUGUGCUAUGGCCUUUGCCUUUGCAGAUAAUUUAUUUCUGAUGUCGUCUCUUUGAAGCUGAAUGAUGUGGUUGCNCAGUAGGGUAAGAUAUUUUUAUAGUUCGAUGGUAUGCUGUUUUUAGUCUUGCAGAAUAACAUAACAAAGAAUUCAUAAUUAUUAUUCUUGAGGUACUUAAAAUUAUUCUCGAUCCAAUAUGAUUGUUAUCAUACUAUAAUAUUAUUAAUGCUAUAUUGUAUAAUUAUGUAUGUAUAUGAGUUCGUACUGUAUAAUGUAAAUACUAUAAUAGAGUAUUAUUUAUUUGUGUAUGUAUAUAAGUACAUGCAGUAACAGAAUUGGGGUUGAGUGCUCUAGAUAGAUAAAUCUAGUUAAAUACCUAACAUAAUUCAUUAGAUAGAUAGUAAGGGUGUAGAAGGGAUAGGGUUUCUACUCCUCAGAUACUGAGAAGCGAGUGUGUCUAAGAACAAGGCUUGCUAGAUGUCAAGAUCUUCAAGUGAAAAAGGUCCUUUGAGAUAAAGUUAGGCAGUACAGACCAGGAUCCUGAUACAUAGAUGUCUACUAGACCCAAGAUUGCAACCUUUUCUAAUCAGGUUCAUCCACUUUUAGAGAAGAGCUUAGAGCUAGUUUAUACUUUCUUGUGACAAUCAGAUGUAAUGGAUUACAGAAUAGAUAACAUGUACCAUAACCAACAUAACCAUAAAAUCAUGAAUAAGCACAUGCCUGGGUGCUCUAGUUGUACUGCAUUGGGCCAGGCCUACGUUUCCAGCUUUUCCCUUAUGAGGUUUUUUACUGGUUUUUCGUAGCCGGCAGACAGCAGCAUAACACACUAAACAAAGUAAAUAUCACUCAAAUUGUAAUAUUACAUGAGUAAUAAACAGAAUACAACAGCAAUAACAACACAAGCAUACUAAGAAUACUAAUGUAAACACCCUUCAUUGCAAUCUGUAACAAGCAUUUCUUUGGCAUUAAUUUGGCCUAUGGAUUACCAUAAUAUUUUGGAAACUUAUAUUUUGGCAGUAUUCACCUUUCUAUUUCUUGGCAUGUUAAUUUGAUUACUUUUAAGAUUAUUUUGUAAAUAAAGACUAUUGGUAUC